rnacentral:lncRNA from 1 species
CAAAAUGCCAAGGUCAUGACAGGCAAGCAAAGAUUGAAGAAAGCUUCCAGAUUAAAGAAGACUGAGGAAACUCAACAGCCAAAUGCUCUCAGCCUCCUGUGUGCAAGCAGAGUUGCUAUGGUGCCAUCGCUUGUACUUGCAUCUGACACUUCUGCGUUAGAGACCACCAGUCAAAAUCCUCAGUGGGCUUACGAGCAGAAUCCAGACCCAUCUCAGCCCCCAUCCGCUCCCACCUACCAUCUGGAUCUCCCUGCAGUGAUGGGAGCAGCAGGAGAAAGCAGAAAGAAACAUCUCCCCGCCCCCACCCCCUCCACCAUUAACUGCUGCAACCACCAGAAGCAGGAUCUAGAAAAAGAAGCCCCGAAGUCAUGAUUUUCCUCCAUUUUCCGCACCUUGCUGACCUGACAAGAACUUUAAGAGAUCCUCUGCCAUGCUGUGAACUGCUCUAUGGAGAGCCUCAUGUGGAAAGGAACUGAUGUCUCCAGCCAACAGCCACAUGAAUGAAUUUAGAAGUGGAUCUUCCAUCAUUUGAGACUUGAGAUGACAGCAGUCCCAGACAAGCCCUUAACUGCAAACUUGUGAGAGGCCCUGAGCCAGAGAGAGACUUCUCUUCCUGAAGAGUCUAAGCCAUUCAACAAAACACAUACCAGGACGGUGAACUCACCUAAAUAGGAAGACCUUGGAACAAGCUCCUCAGCUAGUAGGAUUCAUCGCCUGAUUGGACCCAAAGCUGUUCCACAAUUUGGAUUGAAAUAAGCAAUUUUUAACCAGUAGGUCAUUAAUGUGGUUACAGGGUUGACUGAAUUGACCUACCAAUUCAACCAAGUAGGUUAGUAGGAAAUUAGUCUAAAUAUUAAAAAUUAAUUGUGAAGAAGCAUUUUCCUUACUGAUUGCAUAAACCCCCUCAUUAACUCAUUGUCUUCACCAAUUGUGAUUGUAUACUUUCAAGUGUUUC